rnacentral:misc_RNA from 1 species
GGUGGCUUUGGUCAAGUGUAUGUUGGUCGGCGUCUUUCUCCUAUUGCUUCAAAUGAUAGAACCAGUUCUGGAGCUGCAGAGGUGGCCUUAAAAUUUGAGCAUAGAAGUAGUAAAGGAUGUAACUAUGGACCGCCAUAUGAGUGGCAAGUUUACAGCUUUCUUGGUGGGAGUCAUGGAAUACCACGGGUACACUACAAGGGUCGGCAAGGUGACUAUUAUGUCAUGGCUAUGGAUAUACUGGGGCCAAGCUUGUGGG